rnacentral:lncRNA from 1 species
AAGUUUUGAACUUGGAGACCCAAGGAGCUCAAUCUCUCCCAACUCCAAGUUAGAUCGCCUCCACUCUCGAUCUUCAAGAGGUAAGAGUCGAUCUCUAGCUUACAUUAUGUUUUAAACAAGUUUUAUGCAAGAUCUGUGGGGUAGAGAUGCAUGUUUAGGUUUGUUGAUGAGUUUAUGGUUUUGAUGCUUUGAUGAACAAUGUAGCUUGAUUGUGUGUGUAUGAAGUGUUGUAGAUGGGGUAUAUGCAUGUUUGAGACCCCUAGGAACUUGUAUGUAUGUUUUGGUUGAGAAAUAUGCAUGAUCUGUGGUUUUGGGAGGCAGGAGGUUCAUUUGAACCAAGUUUCUGCCGUUUGGCAGAAACCAGGUUCGGCAGCCGAAGGGAGUUUCGGCCGCCGAACCCCUCUUGUGAAGGCAGCUUUCGGCUGCCGAAGGUGCCCCCGAAAAGAGACUUUCGUCUCUGUCUGGCACUUUCGGCCGCCGAAGGUGCCGCCGAACCUAGCUGAGUUUCGUCUCUGUCCAGGACUUUCGGCCGCCGAAGGUGCCGCCGAAGGUGCCCUGUUCAGCCAUUUCAUGCAUAUUUUCUGUGAUGUUUUCAUGAUGUUUUGGGGGAUAUAUUAGAGAUAUGUUUAUAUGUGUUUGGUCCCUCAUUGGAGUCCACCUGUGUAGGUUCGGACCCGAGGAACCAAGGACCCCAGCAGUGAGCCAGCUGCUGAGAGUUUGACAGAGUCAGCCAGAGGUGAGUGGAACUAUACUUAAUCUUUUAAAUUAAGAAAGUGAAUAUUUUAUCAUGUUUCAUGCAUCAUGACUAUAAUAUAGGAUGUUUGCAUUAGAAUCACGAAUAUGCUACAUUGCAUUAUUAUAUUGUGGUUGAUGAGGAGGGACAUUGCACGACUCACUAGUCCUGUGUACGAAGUCCUGUGGUGCCCAUAAUAGGGCCGGGCAAUAGCUCCGAUUUACGAAGUCCUGUGGUGCCCAUAAUAGGGCCGGGCAAUACGAAGUCCUGUGGUGCCCAUAAUAGGGCCGGGCAAUACGAAGUCCUGUGGUGCCCAUAAUAGGGCCGGGCAUGGAGCUGAGGGAUUUUUGGGUCGGUCCUUCCAUGAUGUGAAAUGUUUGUGCAAUGAUGCAUUCCAUUAUAACAUGUUUUAAAUAUUUUUUUUAUAUAGUUCUACUCACUGGGCAUCUAGCUCACCCCUCUCCCCUAACCCCCAGGUUUGCAGGUACGGGAUUGAUAGAGAAGAAAAGAAGAGAAAAGUCCUAUGUAUGUAAUAG